CAGUUCUGCUGUUCUGACUCUAG
rnacentral:miRNA from 1 species